UACGUAGGGUGCAAGCGUUAAUCGGAAUUACUGGGCGUAAAGCGUGCGCAGGCGGCUUUGCAAGACAGAUGUGAAAUCCCCGGGCUUAACCUGGGAACUGCAUUUGUGACUGCAUGGCUGGAGUGCGGCAGAGGGGGAUGGAAUUCUGCGUGUAGCAGUGAAAUGCGUAGAUAUGCGGAGGAACACCGAUGGCGAAGGCAAUCCCCUGGGCCUGCACUGACGCUCAUGCACGAAAGCGUGGGGAGCAAACGGG
rnacentral:rRNA from 1 species